rnacentral:rRNA from 1 species
UACAGAGGGGGCCAGCGUUAUUCGGAAUUAUUGGGCGUAAAGGGCGCGUAGGCGGCCAUGCGUGUCUUCCGUGAAAUCCCUCGGCUUAACUGAGAACGUGCGGAAGAAACUGCAAGGCUUGAGUCCGGGAGAGGGGGGUGGAAUUCCCAGUGUAGCGGUGAAAUGCGUAGGAUAUUGGGAGGAACGACCGGUGGCGAAGGCGGCCCCCUGGA